rnacentral:rRNA from 1 species
AAUACCGCAUAACGUCGCAAGACCAAAGAGGGGGACCUUCGGGCCUCUUGCCAUCGGAUGUGCCCAGAUGGGAUUAGCUAGUAGGUGGGGUAAAGGCUCACCUAGGCGACGAUCCCUAGCUGGUCUGAGAGGAUGACCAGCCACACUGGAACUGAGACACGGUCCAGACUCCUACGGGAGGCAGCAGUGGGGAAUAUUGCACAAUGGGCGCAAGCCUGAUGCAGCCAUGCCGCGUGUAUGAAGAAGGCCUUCGGGUUGUAAAGUACUUUCAGCGGGGAGGAAGGGAGUAAAGUUAAUACCUUUGCUCAUUGACGUUACCCGCAGAAGAAGCACCGGCUAACUCCGUGCCAGCAGCCGCGGUAAUACGGAGGGUGCAAGCGUUAAUCGGAAUUACUGGGCGUAAAGCGCACGCAGGCGGUUUGUUAAGUCAGAUGUGAA